rnacentral:rRNA from 1 species
GACGAACGCUGGCGGCGUGCUUAACACAUGCAAGUCGAACGAUGAAGCUGGAGCUUGCUCCGGUGGAUUAGUGGCGAACGGGUGAGUAACACGUGAGCAAUCUGCCCUUGACUCUGGGAUAACUGCGGGAAACUGUAGCUAAUACCGGAUAUUUUCCCUGGUGGGCAUCCACUGGGGAAGAAAGAAUUUCGGUCAAGGAUGAGCUCGCGGCCUAUCAGCUAGUUGGUGAGGUAAUGGCUCACCAAGGCGACGACGGGUAGCCGGCCUGAGAGGGUGACCGGCCACACUGGAACUGAGACACGGUCCAGACUCCUACGGGAGGCAGCAGUGGGGAAUAUUGCACAAUGGGCGAAAGCCUGAUGCAGCAACGCCGCGUGAGGGACGAAGGCCUUCGGGUUGUAAACCUCUUUUAGCAGGGAAGAAGCGAAAGUGACGGUAC